GGCGGGCCCGUCGCGUGCGUGACGUCAUAGCGAGGCGCCGCGCGCGUUGAGCAGGAGCCUCGACCUCGCUGUCCAGGAGACCGGUGAGGCGAUGCUGCACUUAGUCCCGGCCGGAGCGCGGGCCUGGCUUCGGUCCUCGGGCUGCAGGGGCCUGAGCUCACUGGCAGAAGAGGCAGUGCGGCCGGUGAAGGAGUCGGAGCAAGAGCCGGAGCCGAGCGCUGGUGCCCAGGAGCCUGUGCUGCGCCGAUGCGAACUCCCGGUCCCCGCGCACCGGCGCCCGGUGCAGGCCUGGAUCGAAUCCCUGCGAGGGUACGAGCAGGAGCGCGUUGGCCUGGCCGAGCUGCACCCUGACGUCUUCGCCACGGCGCCCCGGCUGGAUGUCCUGCACCAGGUGGCCAUCUGGCAGAAGAACUUCAAGAGAAUCAGCUACGCCAAGACCAAGACGAGGGCUGAGGUGCGGGGCGGCGGCCGGAAGCCCUGGCAGCAGAAGGGCAGCGGGCGGGCGCGGCACGGCAGCAUCCGCUCCCCGAUCUGGCGAGGCGGGGGCAUCGCACACGGCCCCCGGGGCCCCACCAGCUACUACUACAUGCUGCCCAUGAAGGUGCGAGCGCUGGGGCUCAAGGUGGCGCUGACCGUGAAGCUGGCGCAGCACCUGCGUCCCCAGGACGACCUGCAUGUCGUGGACUCCCUGGAGCUGCCCACCUCGGACCCCCAGUACCUGACGGAGCUGGCCCACUACCGCCGCUGGGGCGACUCGGUGCUGCUCGUGGACCUGACACACGAGGGGAUGCCACGCAACAUCGUGGAGGCCACCAGCAGGCUCAAGACCAUCAACCUGAUCCCAGCUGUGGGCCUGAACGUGCACAGCAUGCUCAAGCACCACAGCCUGGUCCUCACGCUGCCCACCGUCGCCUUCCUGGAGAAGAAGCUGCUGUGGCAGGACUCACGCUACGGGCCGCUGUACCCGUUUUGCCUGCCCUACCGUGACUUCCCCUGACGCACAGCGCAGCCUUCCUGGGGUGGCCCGAGGCUGGGCCCGCAGUCACCCCGGAGCAGCUGCGGGACUUCAGCUCGGAUGACAUCCUGCCCUGCCUGUCCCGGACUGCUUUCAAGGAGAGGCGGCUGGACAGCGCCGCUCCGCCCCUCCCACGGGGUCGGCCUGCCUCAGGAGCCGCCCUGGGCUCUGCGUCGACCCCUCAAGCCCAGCGUCCUUCCAGCGAGUCCAGCCAGGUCUCAUCCGCCGCCCAGGCCCACCGCGGCUCGCUGGGCCCCUGACCGCAUCUCCUCCUGAAGCCUCAAGGGGGCGCCGAGAGCACCCGGUCCCCCUCUGCUCAGAACCUCCCGCGUCCCUGCCGUCCACCCCCACGCCGCCUACCUGGCUGCAGCCUCGCGGGCCUUCCGGCUGCUCCUGGGAUGGUUCCUGCCACAGGGCCGUUGCACCUACCGUGCUCGUUGGUUGUUAUGUUCCUCCCCAGGUGAUUCCUAUCACGUUCACCUUGGUGCUU